GACGCGGGAGCCGCCGGGGGCUGACUCACCCGGCCCGGAGCGGCGGCCCCCGGAUGGAGGACAGCGGAGACGCUGGACUCGACCCCGCGCCAUCCCGGGAACCUCUUCUGCUGGGACGUCCCAGUCUUCCACGAGGCACUGUUGGAUACGCAGCAAAAAGGAGGAUCUGCAGCACGAGAGACUGAGUCACUGAGUCGUGUCCGACUCUUUGUGACCCCAGGGACUGUAGCCCGCCAGGCUCUCCUGUACACAGGAUUUCCCAGGCAAGAAUUCAGGAGUGGGUUGCCAUUUCCUUCUCCAGGGGAUCUUCUCAACCCAGGGAUCGAACCUGCGACUCCUGUAUUAGCAGGUAGAUGCUUUACCACUAAGCCAUCUGGGAAGUCCAACCCCAUGUUAGAGAUGAAGAAACUGAGGCUCAAAGAAUACCUUACAUGUCCUCAGAACUGUCUCCUGAACCAAGUACCCUGGCCCCAGAGAUGUCCAGUUCCCAGGACACUGUGUUUAGUUCCUAUUGGACCAAAAGGGGAGCUACUAGGCCAUUCAAGCUCACGUCCUAUUUCUUAUGGUCAGCGUUGGUCCAUGGGAUUUGCUGUCUCUCCAUCUGGGAGGGCAUCAGAUGAUGGAGUGCCACUUGUUCCGGGGGUCACUGAGCCUCAGGAUUUCUUUUGAUUGUUCUGGAACAAUCCAUGCCAGAAGCACAUUCAAACAGAGCGACUAAUGCUCACAUCAAAAACAUGGCCUUAAAGGACGCUCUCAAAUUCCUCUCUGCACCAGACCCAGGGGAAGAAGCUACUGAGCCGAGAGAGACCGCAGUGCCAGGUAGUACUUUGCAGCCACUCGGUGUCUGGAGUACACUUUUUAUUCAUAAAUUAUCUACACGUGUGCCUUUAUCGGACUUUCCAGGUGGCGCUAGUAAUAAAGAAUCCGCCUGCCUCGGCAGGAGAUCUAACAGACCCAAGUUCAAUCCCUGGGUCAGGAAGAUCCUUUGGCGCAGGGCAUAGAAGCCCCCUAUAGUAUUCUUGCCUGGAGAAUUCCAUGGACAGAGAAGCCUGGUGGGCGUCGGUCUACAGGGUCACAAAGUGUUGAACACCACUGCAGUAACUUAGCACGCACGCAUGUGACCUUACUAAAAACAUUAUAAAAACUUACAAAACGGAGAUAAAGGGACUUCCCUGGUGGAACAGUGGUUAAGACUCCACAUUUCCAAUACAGGAGGUGCAGGCUUGAUCCCUGAUCAGGGAACUAAGAUCCCACAUGCUGGGUGGCAUGGGCAAAAAACAAACAAAAAUAAA